rnacentral:tRNA from 1 species
UCCCUGAUAGCUCAGUUGGUAAAAGAAUCUGCCUGCAAUGCAGGAGACCCUGGUUCAAUUCCUGGGUUUGGAA